GCUGCUUCUCGACUUUCUGAGUAAGGAUCAUAUGUAUUAUGUACUAUUCGCAGUGUAAUUUCUGCAACGGUCUGUAAACUGAUAUCAAUGAAAUUACUUGCAUUCUUCGCUUCCAGACGGGCGCUGUGAGUUUGCUCAAACCCUUCAUGGGUCGGCCUCGUAUUUCAUUACUUUGAGGAUUGGCUGACUAGAC
rnacentral:snRNA from 1 species